rnacentral:rRNA from 1 species
GACGAACGCUGGCGGCGUGCUUAACACAUGCAAGUCGAGCGGAAAGGCCCUUUCGGGGGUACUCGAGCGGCGAACGGGUGAGUAACACGUGAGUAAUCUGCCCUUGGCUUUGGGAUAACUACCGGAAACGGUGGCUAAUACCGGAUAUGACCAUGCUCGGCAUCGGGUGUGGUGGAAAGUUUUUUCGGCCAGGGAUGUGCUCGCGGCCUAUCAGCUUGUUGGUGGGGUAAUGGCCUACCAAGGCUUCGACGGGUAGCCGGCCUGAGAGGGUGACCGGCCACACUGGGACUGAGACACGGCCCAGACUCCUACGGGAGGCAGCAGUGGGGAAUAUUGGACAAUGGGCGGAAGCCUGAUCCAGCAACGCCGCGUGAGGGAUGACGGCCU